GAUGAACGCUGGCGGCGUGCCUAAUACAUGCAAGUCGAACGCUUCACAUAUGUGAAGAGUGGCGAACGGGUGAGUAAUACAUAAGUAACCUGGCCUUUACAGGGGGAUAACUAUUGGAAACGAUAGCUAAGACCGCAUAGGUGUGCAGAUCGCAUGAAGUGCACAUGAAAUAUGCCACGGCAUAGGUAGAGGAUGGACUUAUGGCGCAUUAGCUAGUUGGAGGGGUAACGGCCCACCAAGGCGACGAUGCGUAGCCGACCUGAGAGGGUGACCGGCCACACUGGGACUGAGACACGGCCCAGACUCCUACGGGAGGCAGCAGUAGGGAAUUUUCGGCAAUGGGGGAAACCCUGACCGAGCAACGCCGCGUGAAGGAAGAAGUAAUUCGUUAUGUAAACUUCUGUCAUAGAGGAAGAACGGUGCGUGUAGGGAAUGACAUGCAAGUGACGGUACUCUAUAAGAAAGCCACGGCUAACUACGUGCCAGCAGCCGCCGUA
rnacentral:rRNA from 1 species